CAGUGCGAACGACAAUUGGAAGGACAUUUACAUAUUUGUGGGUGAUGUGGUGAAGAAGUUUCCAAACUUGAAAAUGCGGGUGUCCUUCAUCACCUACUCCACACAGGGCCACACCCUUAUGGAGCUCACCUCAGACAGAAACAAAAUACAUAAUAGUCUUAGCAGACUUAAGAAUAUAAAGCCUACUGGAGCC